UCGGUAAAAAUAUAAUUUUCCCGUUAUCCAGGCUUAGCUUCGUUCAAGCUGAUCAAGCAUACGUCAACAACAACAAAAGCUGGUUGACUCAUUGUUGCUAUAUUUGCUAGGCUUGUCCUGUCAUCGUUCCACAACGUUGGACGACGAACAGUUGGUGAAUCGUCAUCAGCUUUUCAAGCAAACUCUAGUACGUAUUCAUAUUCUUACCAACAGCCAACAGCUUCAUCAGUUGUUCAGCAGCAAUUUUAAUUAACUUGUAAAAUGUCAAAGAUGACAGGAGGAAUCUCAGAUAAAGAAGAGCCAGCCAAUGC